UUGAGCAGCUUUUUUUCAUAAAAGUGCUCACAAACCAACUUCCCAAUUCUUAAUGCGGCAAAAAACAAGGAAGAAAUAUGAAAGAGAAAAGAAGACGGCAGUUUGGACGCCUGUGCAGAAAGUCACUGAAGUCGAGUGGAAAGGUGGACAAAAAAAAGAGGUAAAUAAAACUUUGAUUUACGCAAUGCUUUAGCUCUCAUCAGACUUAUGAACAAAAUAAUUUAAUGUUCAUGUGUGUGGGUGGGUUUGGGAGAGUUAAAGAGAAAAAUCAGUACUUUCUGGCUGAACAAAGUUAAAUAUCAAUUCAAACCUAUAAUGCCACAGAGGUGUGCAGUACAUAAAUUCUGAUAAAUACACAUUUUAAUUAUUUACAGUCACAUUUAUUUGUCUUUACUGAAAAGAUGUAAAGUCAUAAUUAGGUUGCAAAACUUUAUUUAAAACAUUCAUAAAGUGCAGCAAUAGUGAAAUGAAAUCCAGUAAAGAAAUGUUGCAUUGUAUGUAUGAUGUUAUGUCUGAAUUCUGCUUCAGUUUCAGUAUUUUUCUGAAACUUCUGGAUAAAAGUUUCUUCCCUGUUUGGAAUGAACUGAAGGUUUCAAGCUUCAAAUCAGAAUGUUUGUUUUCAUCUGGUUAAUCGUGUCUCUCCCUUCUAACAAUGAUGCAUUACGAUGGGUAAACUUCAGUAAACAUGAAGGUUACAGUGUUGGUUUCAAUGAGGACGAAAUAAGAGCAGAAGCUGGACUCUGUGCUGUGAUACCAUGUGCUUUCACAGCUCUCUUUGUACCCGAACGUAUUAUUUGGUAUAAAUGUAAAGCAUCUGAUGUCAGAUGUGACAAAUCUGAAUGGAUAUUUCACUCUGACGAGAACGAGGAAAACAUUCAGUUUGGGUUCAAAGGUCGAGUGUCACUGCUGAACCUGAACAUGGCUCAGAAGAACUGCAGCAUGAUGAUCAACAAUCUUAAGAAAUCCGAUUCUGGAUCAUAUCAGCUCCGAGUUGAGGGAAAAGAAACAGGAGAAGCAUUUACAUAUGAGACAAAAACAACAUUAUCAGUAACAGGUCUGAACCAAACGCCCUCAGUGAUGAUUCCUCCACUGACUGAGGGACAGCAGGCCACUCUGACCUGCACUGCUCCUGGUCUCUGCUCUGGGUCUCCUCCUAACAUCACCUGGAUGUGGAGAGGAAAAGGAAGGAAAGACUAUUUUAUCAAAGGAAACAUUACUGCUUUAAAAACUGAGAAUCUGACUGCUGUCACACAGAUACACAUCUCAACUCUGACCUUUAACUCUUCAGCUGAUCACCACAACACCAAAAUAACCUGUAAGGUCAGCUUCACAGGCGGCCUAACUACAGAGGAGACUGUGACUCUGAAUGUGACAUAUGCAAGAAAACCUCGGAUCUCUGUUAGGUCAACAGUUAAAGAAGGAAAUAAUCUGAAUCUGACCUGCAGUGUGGACAGUUUCCCUCUAUCAGUUAUCACCUGGACUAAAUCUGGAAAACAAGCUGAACAGCAGAGUCACAACGUAUCUGAAAUGCAUGGCAGUAGUAAAAUCUGUCAGCAACUAAAAAGAAGGUGCUUGUUUUCCAUCUCUAAUGUGACGAAAGAAGACGCUGGUCUUUACAUCUGCACAGCACAACAUCUGAACAACACUCUGAGAGAAGAAAUUAAUGUAACAGUGAAAUAUGCUAGAAAACCUCAGAUUUCUGGCAGAGCAACAGUCAUGGAGGGAGACGAUCUGAACCUGACCUGCAGUGUGGACAGCGUUCCUCCAUCAGUUAUCAAGUUGACUAAAUCUGGAACAGAAACCAACUGGCAGGACAAUAUUCUAAUCAAAGCAGAUAACAGAAAAGUCUACCUGCAGGAAAAAAGUGGACAUGUAUCGUUGUCCAUCAUGAAUGUAACAACAGAAGAAGCAGGACGUUACAUUUGUACAGCAACGUAUCAGAAUGACAGCAUGACAGAAGAAGUUCAUGUUAAAGUGAACUACCUCAGAAAACCUUGGAUCUCUGGUAGAACAACAGUAAAGGAGGGAGAUGUUCUGAAUCUGACCUGUAGUGCUGACAGCUUUCCUCUCUCAGUUAUCAACUGGACUAAGAUGGAAACAAAAACUAACCAGCAGCCCAGCAAUUCAGCUGGUGCUUUUAACAUCACUGAAAACACCUUGAAGGGGAAAGAUGGCAAUGGUUCUUUGUCCAACACUAAUGUGGCAGCAGAAGAUUCAAGGGUUUACAUCUGUACUGCAAAAAACCUUACCGAUAAUCUAACAAAACAAGUCAAACUUACAGUAACAUAUGAUUUUGAAAAUGCAACUGUGAAGGAAGAAGAUCUGAAUCUGAACUGCAGUGUGGACAGUUUUCAGCCAUUAGUUGUCAGAUGGACUAAAAAUGGAACAGAAACCAAUCUAAAAAUAGACACUUUAAGUAAAGCAUUUACUGCAGUCUAUGUGCUGUAUGAACAGGCAAAUGUCUCUUCUCCCAUCACGAAUGAAACAAUGGAAGAUGCAAAGCGCUACGUUUGUACAGCAGCAUAUCAGAAAAGUACCAUGGAAGAAAAACUCCAUAUAGUGACAAGCAUAGGAAAACCUCAGAUCUCUGGCAAGACAACAGCUGAGGAAGAUGCUCUGAGUCUGACCUGCACUGUUGACAGUUUUUCCUCCUCAGUUAUCAACUUGACCAUAUUUGAAAACAGCAACCUGCAGACUAAUAUUUCAAGUAAACUGCAAAACAGCAGUGAAAAUCUCAAGCAGGAACAAAGUGGGAUUGGCACUUUGUUCAUCAAAAGCGUUACAGCAGAACAUGCAGGCCUUUACAUCUGCACAGCAACUGUGCCAAACAUAAAUCUAACAGAAAGAAUCAAUUUAACAGUUACAUACAGAAGGAGGCCUCAGAUCACUGGAAACCAAACAAUAAAGGAAGGAGAUGCUCUGAAUCUGACCUGCAGUGUUGAUAGUGUUCCUCCAUCACUCAUCAUGUGGACUAAAAAUGUACUCAGCAUGCAUCCGAGCAACAGAACUAGCUCCCCCAACAACACUGGAUCUGCUACUCUUGUCGUUUUCAACAUGACAGUAGGAGAUUCUGGACGAUACACCUGCACAGCAACAUACGAGAACAUCACUGAGACUAAAUAUGUUCACGUAAAAGUGACUUGGUCUCCAAAGGUACUGAAUGGUUCUGGAUGUGUGCUUCGGACAGACGCUUUGACCUGCAUGUGUCUUAGUGAGGGAUUUCCUCUACCUACCAUCCAAUGGCCGAUGCUGAAAGACCACACUGAGUACUCCAUCACCAGUGUUGUGUCAAACCACACUGUCAACAGCACCGUUACCAUAACUGUUAAAAACCAUGGCAACAUCAGUGUUGAAUGUGUUAGCAGCAAUGAAAAUGGGGAAGCAAAAGAAAACCUCACAGUCUUCUGGACAAAACGAGAAGUAAGCAAGCAAACACCUAAUUCAGAAAAAAGUUCCAUGCUGGAAAUCAUCAUUGCCUUUUUGGUUGGGUUCCUUCUUGCACCUAUCAUCUUCUGUUUGUUCAUGAAAUUCUACAGAAUAAAACGGAAGAACUCUGAAAAUGCGGGUGAAUCUGUGGAGAUGAUUACGCCGUUGAUGUCGAAUGGUCAAGCUGUUCAAGGGGGAGAAAAGAAAGAAGCUUUGGCAGGAGCUCCUGAAGCUACCAACGGUCCAAAGGAAUUGGUGUAUGCCAACAUUGACUUUUCCCUCCUAAACCGGGUUCCCACAAAACGGAUAACGAGUUCAGAAAACAAAAACACGGAAUAUGCAGAAAUCAAGACAAACAAGGAAAAAGGUCAUCAAGUGGAGAUGAUGACUGAGGAGGAUAACGAGAUGAAAAGCUGCGUUCAAGAAGUGAAAGAAGAGGCUGAGGAACCAGUGUACGCAAAAGUGGAGGAUUUAGUUGAGGAGAGUUGAAGAUUGAUUGUGAGGCCAGACGUCCAAGACAGAAUCACAAAAAACCCCUAAAGCUCGAGUCCAACAUGGAUACAAUGAUUAUAAAAUACAAACCACUCAUGAUCUUGAAGAUGCCAUUCCAACGUGUCCUCCCUUUUGGAUGUUACACAAUGUUGUAAACUGGUUUCAACUAAUGAGCUCUUAGUGUAACCAGUCAAAGAAACACUUUAGAAUGUCUUUAAUUAGAAUUGUAUUUUUUGUAGUGUACUAAGAGAGAUCCUACAUUUAUUGAAUGUGAAAUUGAACCUGUUACCCGUUACCAUGAACGUUCAAAGGCGGAAAGGAAACAAAGAACAUAAAAGGCUCUAUGACUUGGAGAACAUAUUCAGGAGGUAUUCAAAUAUGUGAUGCAGCUUUUUAAAUAAAAUUAUAUUUAUAUUUAUUUUAGUAUACUCUGACUGUCAUUCACAAAAUCGUUAACCCUUUACCCGGCAUAUUGCUCUCAUUAAUCAGUUUCCACUGUACUUGAUGCUUUUCUAUGAUCCUGCAGGUCAAAACUAUGACUAAAAAAAUGACAUAAAUGUAUUGUGACAUAGCUCAUCAAAUAUGGCAUAUUUUGUUUAUAUAUUUUUAUUGUAUUCAUUUUAAGUAAAUGCAUAAUAAAUGUACU